AGGGGCUGCUGGCUCCCCAAUUUGACGAGUAGGUGGACACGACGGAAGAUGAGUACACACCCGACGUGCAGCUAGAGAAAGCGCGCGCACGACACAAGAGCAGAGCGGGGUCGAGGGGCACAAACUGGAAGGUCGAUGGUGUCGGGCUACUGCUGCGACGAUGGUAGGUGAGGUCCAACACGCAGUCCAAAUCCUUGAUGCAGAUCGACGUCAAGGUGAAGACCGAGCGUCAGCACGAUGGAGAUCGAUGGUCGGCAACAGACAUGGCAGGGAGGACAUCGGCGAGAUUGAGGUCAGGGCGCGACAUGGUAGAUUGAAGACCGACAUGUGUUGGAGAGACCGAACUCGAUCGAUGGGGAAGAAACCCAGAUGCGGCUUGGAUGGAGCAGCAGCAGGGAGCAUCAGCAACAGCGAGCGAGCGACGCUCAGCGACUGCAGGAGAGGCUGACGGUGCCGGGGAAUUCAAAGCAGAGACCAAGGGCACACGACGGCUUGCCCGUCCACGACCAUCGCGCCCGCAGCCACCAGCGCUUCCCGGCUGCGUCCGUGCACGACCAAAGAUGGAACUGGAGGGCAAGCAGAGAGGGGCGACCGGCAGAGGAGGAGCAGAGGCCGACUGAAGAGGGCGCGCCAUGAAAUCGAGCUGGCGCGGCAAGGAAACUUCCAUGGCGGGGUCGUGGCGCGCCAUGGAACCGAGCAGACAGAGUACCAUGAGAUGGAGCUGGGCAGUGGCUGACAGGAAUCCGAGCAGGGACGGCGCGGGCGCGUCCACGGCUGCUCCAGACUCCCACGAAGCAGGACUUCAGUGCGGCCAGGAAGAGAAAGACUCGGGCUGGGCGCACGCAAGAAUGGAGCUUGCAGGAAGACGACAGCAGAUAAAAAGAAUCUGAGUACGACGGUGAAGGGAUAAGGAUGCUCCAUACAGCGCCCGGCGAGCAGCACGGAGGAGACACGAUGGCUCAGUGCUGUCCACGUUCAGUGAAGAAGAAAAAAAAUAUCCAUGCUUAUAACGAUGGCUGGAAGAUAAGGUUAGCGGCAAAAAAGAUCUGAGCUCGUUGAAGAAUAUCAGAGAGAAUGCAGCUCGAAAAAUCAAGGAGAGGGAAGAGAUAUGGCCAACGAUUGAAAUAUCAGAGGGAAAGCGGUAGCCGUGAGAAAAAUCAGGGAUAGAAAAAAAAAUCUUCAUCUGCCAUGCGAUAGGAACGUGAUGUUUUUUCUCUUUCUUCUUUUUUUUUUAAGAUUCAUUUUCUUAUUUUUUUUUUAACAAAGCAUCGCAGAUAUUUUUACAAUUACGAUUUUUAGCAAUGUAAAACGGGUCGGCAGUAAUUGUGACAGUUGAUUCAAUUUAAAAAUCUGAUAAAUUUAUCUACGGUCUGAACAUCUGAUUUCACGGCCAUAGAUAAUUUAUCAGCGAGUCGAGGCUCACCUUUUGGAUCCUCAUAUACGAUUUCACGGUUGACGAAUGGGAACCGAAUUAUUUGCAUCGACAACCGUAGUCGACGAGUUCUGACUAAUUUGUUCGGCGUGAUUCGACCGAACUGAAACCCGAUCUACCAUGUAUACGCGAUUUCGUCGCCCAAAACAGGGUGCGGACGGAUAAAUUGGAUCGUAGCCUCGCGCAAGAUUUCACACGAUUCGAAUUAUUUUACCCCGAGCAUUUUAGUUGUCGAGUUCAAAAUUAAUUUGUUCGGGAUAAAAUCGUCCGAUUGGGUUGAGCUUCCGAAUUCGUACCCGUACGAGCGAUGAAUUUUAAAUAAUCACCGGACGCACCGAUUUUCGGAAUGACGAUAUUCCGAACAUCACGAAAAAAAAUUUGGAAGAGCCCAAAUAAUAGAAGUAAAAAUGAUGUCGCACUCGCGACAAACGGAACAGAUGCGAUAUUAGAUUCGCAAUAAACGAGGAUGAUUAAAAUUUAAAAUCCGUUUUAUCCACUGAUAUUGUGUGCUUAAAUCCGUACUCGUUGUCGAGCGGAAUAUAAACACCUGAGGUGUUACAGCCCUCCCCCCUUAAAAGAAUCUCGUCCCGAGAUUCGGAACGAAAGACUUCUAAGAGUAGAGCAGCAUGUAACCCAUUUCCUUAUCAGCGAUAAUCGUAAGGCAGUUCUGAGCGAAGGCAAGUGUCUCAGGAUGUUGUUUCCCCUAGUGGACAUAACAUGUAUCGACGUAAGCCAAUUUAGAAAUGUCCAUUAGUAGAGACAACAUCAGCCAGAGGAACACAUAAGGUUUCAUGUGUGCAGUUUGCUUUUUCUGAUGACACUAUACUAUCUGAGUCUGUUGGGCGAGCAGUAGAUAUGCGAUUUUACCCAAACAGAAUCAGAUGCAACCUCUUGGGUAAAUCACACAGAAAGAGGUUUACCAACAAGUGGUUACAGUAAGUUCAUAGCACACGAGACGAGUGUGAAUGUCGAAUAACAUCACAUUUGACCCGUGGCUAGCCAGAAAAUCCAAGUCCCUGAAAGGUGAUAUAGAUUCGAGAAAAUUACCAGUGGAGAGAUCUGUAGAUACGGACUUUACAACCAGUCCAUUUUAUCCAGCACUAGUCACAGCUCGACUUGAUCACAUAUGCUGGAAAAGCAUACGUGAGGCGAUUGAGGCACGACUAGAGCGAUGAUUAGGUGGUUAUUGGUCGACUUAACUUAACUUUUGUGAGUACUUUCUUUAGAGUGGGUUAGACCAAAGUGAGUUCAGGCAAAUCGAUAAAACGAUCUCUAAAUUCAACCUUUGUUUCAAAUGCAGUUACAAGUUAGUCAAAACCAACUUGUUGAACUACUUUUGACAUUGAGUAAGUCCUCUCAGUACCAUCGGUAAGCCAAGGGUUCAGAGUUUACUCAUAUUAACAGUUGGUCAUGCAUUUGGGCAGGAAUCCAUUUGGUCUGGUCGUUCAUCCGUUUCUUCUAUACGAGAUGAACCGACUUGGUCCAGGAAUACAUGAAUUAAAUAGGAGAGCAAAUGAACAAACUCCUGCAUUUCAGCAGCAGGGGAAAGUCAAUCUCCAUUUUGAGACCUAAUCAGUUGCCUCUCGACACUAAAAAGCUCCAAGGUUUCACCUUUACACAAAGGAUGUAAAGUAAACUUCUAUGCAUGCAGUCACUAUCAAGGUCAAGGGGAAAGAGACCACACAAGUAAGGGGUAUGCCCUUUUGAUCUAACAGAGAUGAUAGAUGUUGCUUGAUCACUUGACAAACAACAUAAAAAUUGUUCCAAGGGAGAAGUCCACGGAAGAUCACAUAUCAGUGUAGUUCCACAAUGGAUCAUGACUAGAGACAUCGAUACCAGCAUGCGCCAAGCAGCAUAACCUUGCGUGUACAUUCACAAGGGGCUCUCAGUUUCGCUGCGGCACCAUAAGUCCUUAAUCAUGACACCAUCACCGAACUGGCACCAAUAAUGAACCUCACAUAGAAAAAACAGAUUGUGCUAAGAUAACACCUUGAUAUAGUCUCAUAAUGGAUUACAACUACUAACCAUGAUACCAGCGCGUGCCAAGUAGCGCAACCAUGUGUGUACAUUCACAGGAGGCCCUCGGUUUCAUCACGACACCAUCGGUUUUAGUCAUAAUGCCAUUACCAAACAUAACCAAUAGAAAAUCUCACACGACACAAAUGAAUUGGGCAAGGGUGACAAUAUACAAGGAGAUACUCCACCUGUAAGAAUGGUUACAAGUAGAGAGCCAAAUAGAUUAUGACCCGAUGAAAUGAACAAAACACGGCCAUAACCUAAAUUGGUUGAUGAAGGGAGUAUGAUGGGAGACUGUUAAUUCAGCCCCAGGCAUAUUUCUAUGCCCAUCAUAGAGAUUACAAGGUCAAGGAUUAGUAUCUGAUUAGAUACGGAGGGAAAACAAUCAUCAAAUUAAGUUGGUAUGCCUUUGAUAGAUAUGGGGAAACCAAAGGCAUCAAAUUCAAGAAAAUACUCGGACAGGUCUUUUCUGGGUUAGGUUGAUAAAGCAACAUGGCGAUCCUUUAAAAAUAGGCAAACUAGAAUAAAGACAUCAGCUUGCACAAAUCGAACAAGGACAUGGUUUAGGGUGGAGACAUGACUCGAGAUUCUUGUUUCAAGUCCGGGUACACUUUAGGUCCAACAAAGAAAUUAUCUAGGCAUUUAUUUUUAUGUGUUUGGUCAUGGAGUGAUAACGGAAAAUUCAAAUUUGGGUCAUGGUUCACUAAAUAAAGACAUGACCUAGUUUAAGGUUUAGGCAAAUAGGUCACCAACCUUCUACCAGCGCAUCAAGUACAAGAGCAAGCACAAUAAGCACCCUAAGAGGUCACCUAAAGAAUGGAGGACACCUAUUUCAUCGAAGUUCAUAAUACAACAUUACACCACAUUAUCUACAAUCAUCGGUUAUUAGAAUAAAGAUGAUAGAAGCACUUUGGAUGUAUAGGUGACAAACAUGAUGCAACAAUCAGGAUGCAUGCUCGUCCUAUACGUCCUCACAAGUUUUGCCAACAUAAUGAGGCGAUAGCGUUCUAUAUCGGUGGCAUACGUUCUCUCUCUCGGUAUUGCUAGUCGUCAGCUACACAUACGUUUUUCGAGGUUAGUGUACCUGCAGAAGAUUCCAUCACAGCCCAAUUUCCCAAUGAUGCAGUUCACACAUGAUAAUUUAUCACAGUUUAUACUCCAUAUAUUGCUAUAUGGAGGCCAGCUCAUCAUUAAGCGCCGAGCCACGCAUAGGCGCCGUUGCCACACUUUAACCAUAGGGCAACUCAUUAUGGUAACUCACCUUCUUACCUGAGCGUAGGUGCGUCAUUACAAGUACAUUACACUUCUCAGUAUUUCCAUGUCUGUAUACCCAUACACAUCCAUGGGGUACUGAAUUCCCAGAAAAGUAAUUACUCCACAUCGCAGCCUUCAUAUAUACAUAUGUAAAACAUGUAUAUAAUCAAGCGCUUUUUAUACUCUCCCCUAGACCGACGUUUGUUCGGUCAUGCUCUCACAUCUCACCUUACCUGAGCGUCGAUCCAUUCCAAACGGAAUGGUUUUCAAAAAUAACAAUACACAUGUAUGCAAUACCCACCCGGUUGUGGGUUAGUGGUUUUCAACUAAGCCACCUAAUAGUCCUUAAUUUAGGGCUUAACAGAGGACGUCGCUAGCAUUAUAGUUUUUCAAAACUGUUUUUCAAAGCCAAACAAUGUGUUUAGUUGAAAAUAGGUUUUUCAAAACCAAAACUUUUGUUUUUAAAAUACGUAUGUGACCGUAGAUACUUAAUCCAGUUCCGAUACCAGCUGUGGCAGAACCUUCAAGUUAUUGGGCCCACAUGCACCUGUCUUUGUCCCAAAGACCUCAGACGACCAUGCAUGUGCACCAGAUAACUCAACAGGAUCUGUCCGAUUGCCCCAAGGACAUCGGAUAAACCACUUUCAACCAGAACCGCAGGAUUAAGUAAUACAAAUCACACACACCAAUAAUUUUGCAGCGGAAAUACUAUUACCAAAUUUUACAAGUUACAAAAAUUUUAUAUUAUUUUAUCGGAGUGGUUACAAAAGUAUAAGUUUGAAAUAUAUGCUAGCUUAAGUGACCAUCCUCAAUAAGAAGUAUAAGGGAGUUACUUAGACUUAUAAGAAGGCCGAGCCCACCGGCACUUAACACCAUCAACAGCAUCACAAAGUUAGGACCUGAAAAACAACAGGGAAUAAAACCCUGGGUAUGGAAUUACUCAGCAAGUCUUACCCGACUAAGGAAAAGACUCUCAAGGGUAUGCUGGAUAAAUAGGAAUCAAGGAGAGGCUUUAACAAGAAUCAACUUAGAUACUUUUGCAGAAAUAGCUUACUAAAGUGAAUCCUUACUUUCAAUGUUUUAACGCUAGAUUAAAUAUUAAUAGACUCUGUUUGCCUUUAGUCUAAUUUCAUCAUCUCAUCAAUACAACAUUAUUUUUAUCCAUAAUGUUCACAUCCUGACUUAGGUUGUAGACAAGUGACCACGUCUUCAUAACCGCGAAGGUACGGCGAUCCGAAUCGAUUAUACUCAGCUGAGGAUCUCCAAUCACACGACAUAUGUAGCACUUAACCCUUGCAUAUGUCAACCCGCCACCGGGGUUCUUAAGACCAGAUCAGGUUCACGCAAACCGAGAGCACAGAUACACCACCAUCCAGCCUCUUGCCACGGAGGGUACACACUACUCUCGCCACCGCUCCACGCCCAUUUCGUGUUAUCUUAUUCUGGCCUUAGUCUGCCCGAGGCAAGGCUUACCCAUGACGAGGCAUGUGACCAGUUAAAGGGUCCGCGGUCAGCACACCUACAUACACGUUCAAUCCUUAAUCAACCUGGGUAGAAUAUCACCCGUUCCUAACCCAAGUCCCGAUUUAAGUAUUUCCACCCUUAGGAUUGUUUGUUUUCCUUAGGAUGAAAAGAGCAUCAUAGGGAACUUUGCAGUAAGAUCCCACCAUGCUCCCAAUGAAAAUAUAACCUUGCAGGUAGAAGUCAUCUUUCCUCAGGAUAACCCCUGAGCAAGGCCUUAACGCAAAAGACAACCUCUAUCCACAAGAUCUAAGCAGGGCUAAGCAUUUUUGUAAAUCAAAGUUUGAUACUUCCAAAGAAGUAUCUAUAACAGGUAUGGAUAUCAAGGAAGACAAUGCAUCAAAGGGUUUCAAGCAACUCCUAUAAACCUAAUGCACAUUUCACUAGACUUAAAGUGUGCGAAAAGUAUUUAAAAACACAAGGAAGGGGUUGCAUGCACCGGGGCUUGCCUGAGUAACACUAGGUUAGUGUUUGUUAGGCGACCACUUGACGAUCAUCCUUAUCCUAGCACUUGAUCAGGCAGGUUCGUUCAUCAGCAUCUCCAUGCGGAGUAGUCCGCGCUUGGGGUCGACUUGGCUCGUCUUCCACAUUACGCGAUCAAUUAUCGACGUCAAGGUGAAGACCGAGCGUCAGCACGAUGGAGAUCGAUGGUCGGCAACAGACAUGGCAGGGAGGACAUCGGCGAGAUUGAGGUCAGGGCGCGACAUGGUAGAUUGAAGACCGACAUGUGUUGGAGAGACCGAACUCGAUCGAUGGGGAAGAAACCCAGAUGCGGCUUGGAUGGAGCAGCAGCAGGGAGCAUCAGCAACAGCGAGCGAGCGACGCUCAGCGACUGCAGGAGAGGCUGACGGUGCCGGGGAAUUCAAAGCAGAGACCAAGGGCACACGACGGCUUGCCCGUCCACGACCAUCGCGCCCGCAGCCACCAGCGCUUCCCGGCUGCGUCCGUGCACGACCAAAGAUGGAACUGGAGGGCAAGCAGAGAGGGGCGACCGGCAGAGGAGGAGCAGAGGCCGACUGAAGAGGGCGCGCCAUGAAAUCGAGCUGGCGCGGCAAGGAAACUUCCAUGGCGGGGUCGUGGCGCGCCAUGGAACCGAGCAGACAGAGUACCGUGAGAUGGAGCUGGGCAGUGGCUGACAGGAAUCCGAGCAGGGACGGCGCGGGCGCGUCCACGGCUGCUCCAGACUCCCACGAAGCAGGACUUCAGCGCGGCCAGGAAGAGAAAGACUCGGACUGGGCGCACGCAAGAAUGGAGCUUGCAGGGAAGACGACAGCAGAUAAAAAGAAUCUGAGUACGACGGUGAAGGGAUAAGGAUGCUCCAUACAGCGCCCGGCGAGCAGCACGGAGGAGACACGAUGGCUCAGUGCUGUCCACGUUCAGUGAAGAAGAAA
rnacentral:lncRNA from 1 species